AGAGUUUGAUCAUGGCUCAGAUUGAACGCUGGCGGCAGGCCUAACACAUGCAAGUCGAGCGGUAGCACAGAGAGCUUGCUCUCGGGUGACGAGCGGCGGACGGGUGAGUAAUGUCUGGGAAACUGCCUGAUGGAGGGGGAUAACUACUGGAAACGGUAGCUAAUACCGCAUAACGUCGCAAGACCAAAGUGGGGGACCUUCGGGCCUCAUGCCAUCAGAUGUGCCCAGAUGGGAUUAGCUAGUAGGUGGGGUAACGGCUCACCUAGGCGACGAUCCCUAGCUGGUCUGAGAGGAUGACCAGCCACACUGGAACUGAGACACGGUCCAGACUCCUACGGGAGGCAGCAGUGGGGAAUAUUGCACAAUGGGCGCAAGCCUGAUGCAGCCAUGCCGCGUGUGUGAAGAAGGCCUUCGGGUUGUAAAGCACUUUCAGCGGGGAGGAAGGCGUUAAGGUUAAUAACCUUGGCGAUUGACGUUACCCGCAGAAGAAGCACCGGCUAACUCCGUGCCAGCAGCCGCGGUAAUACGGAGGGUGCAAGCGUUAAUCGGAAUUACUGGGCGUAAAGCGCACGCAGGCGGUCUGUCAAGUCGGAUGUGAAAUCCCCGGGCUCAACCUGGGAACUGCAUUCGAAACUGGCAGGCUAGAGUCUUGUAGAGGGGGGUAGAAUUCCAGGUGUAGCGGUGAAAUGCGUAGAGAUCUGGAGGAAUACCGGUGGCGAAGGCGGCCCCCUGGACAAAGACUGACGCUCAGGUGCGAAAGCGUGGGGAGCAAACAGGAUUAGAUACCCUGGUAGUCCACGCCGUAAACGAUGUCGAUUUGGAGGUUGUGCCCUUGGGCGUGGCUUCCGGAGCUAACGCGUUAAAUCGACCGCCUGGGGAGUACGGCCGCAAGGUUAAAACUCAAAUGAAUUGACGGGGGCCCGCACAAGCGGUGGAGCAUGUGGUUUAAUUCGAUGCAACGCGAAGAACCUUACCUGGUCUUGACAUCCACAGAACUUUCCAGAGAUGGAUUGGUGCCUUCGGGAACUGUGAGACAGGUGCUGCAUGGCUGUCGUCAGCUCGUGUUGUGAAAUGUUGGGUUAAGUCCCGCAACGAGCGCAACCCUUAUCCUUUGUUGCCAGCGGUUAGGCCGGGAACUCAAAGGAGACUGCCAGUGAUAAACUGGAGGAAGGUGGGGAUGACGUCAAGUCAUCAUGGCCCUUACGACCAGGGCUACACACGUGCUACAAUGGCAUAUACAAAGAGAAGCGACCUCGCGAGAGCAAGCGGACCUCAUAAAGUAUGUCGUAGUCCGGAUUGGAGUCUGCAACUCGACUCCAUGAAGUCGGAAUCGCUAGUAAUCGUAGAUCAGAAUGCUACGGUGAAUACGUUCCCGGGCCUUGUACACACCGCCCGUCACACCAUGGGAGUGGGUUGCAAAAGAAGUAGGUAGCUUAACCUUCGGGAGGGCGCUUACCACUUUGUGAUUCAUGACUGGGGUGAAGUCGUAACAAGGUAACCGUAGGGGAACCUGCGGUUGGAUCACCU
rnacentral:rRNA from 1 species